rnacentral:rRNA from 1 species
CAGGCUUACACAUGCAAGUCGAGGGGUAUAGUUCUUCCGAGCUAGAGACCGGCGCACGGGUGCGUAACGCGUAUGCAAUCUACCUUUUACAGAGGGAUAGCCCAGAGAAAUUUGGAUUAAUACCUCAUAGUAUGUGAGAAUCGCAUGGUUUUCACAUUAAAGUCACAACGGUAAAAGAUGAGCAUGCGUCCCAUUAGCUAGAUGGUAAGGUAACGGCUUACCAUGGCAACGAUGGGUAGGGGUCCUGAGAGGGAGAUCCCCCACACUGGUACUGAGACACGGACCAGACUCCUACGGGAGGCAGCAGUGAGGAAUAUUGGACAAUGGGCGCAAGCCUGAUCCAGCCAUGCCGCGUGCAGGAUGACGGUCCUAUGGAUUGUAAGCUGCUUUUGUACAGGAAGAAACACUCCCUCGUGAGGGAGCUUGACGGUACUGUAAGAAUAAGGAUCGGCUAACUCCGUGCCAGCAGCCGCGGUAAUACGGAGGAUCCAAGCGUUAUCCGGAAUCAUUGGGUUUAAAGGGUCCGUAGGCGGUUUAAUAAGUCAGUGGUGAAAGCCCAUCGCUCAACGGUGGAACGGCCAUUGAUACUGUUAAACUUGAAUUAUUAGGAAGUAACUAGAAUAUGUAGUGUAGCGGUGAAAUGCUUAGAGAUUACAUGGAAUACCAAUUGCGAAGGCAGGUUACUACUAAUGGAUUGACGCUGAUGGACGAAAGCGUGGGUAGCGAACAGGAUUAGAUACCCUGGUAGUCCACGCCGUAAACGAUGGAUACUAGCUGUUGGGAGCAAUCUCAGUGGCUAAGCGAAAGUGAUAAGUAUCCCACCUGGGGAGUACGUUCGCAAGAAUGAAACUCAAAGGAAUUGACGGGGGCCCGCACAAGCGGUGGAGCAUGUGGUUUAAUUCGAUGAUACGCGAGGAAC